GACGAACCGUGCGAACGUUAUUCGGAAUCACUGGGCUUAAAGCGCGUGUAGGCGGGACGGCACGUCGGUCGCUGAAAAGCCCCCCGGCUCAACCGGGGAACGGGCGCCGAUACGACCGCCCUGGAGGAACGUAGGGGGACCUGGAACUUCCGGUGGAGCGGUGAAAUGCGUUGAGAUCGGAAGGAACGCCCGUGGCGAAAGCGAGGUCCUGGACGUUUUACUGACGCUGAGACGCGAAAGCCAGGGGGAGCGAACGGG
rnacentral:rRNA from 1 species